AGUGAACGCUGGCGGUAGGCCUAACACAUGCAAGUCGAACGGCAGCACAGUAAGAGCUUGCUCUUACGGGUGGCGAGUGGCGGACGGGUGAGGAAUACAUCGGAAUCUACUUUUUCGUGGGGGAUAACGUAGGGAAACUUACGCUAAUACCGCAUACGACCUACGGGUGAAAGCAGGGGAUCUUCGGACCUUGCGCGAUUGAAUGAGCCGAUGUCGGAUUAGCUAGUUGGCGGGGUAAAGGCCCACCAAGGCGACGAUCCGUAGCUGGUCUGAGAGGAUGAUCAGCCACACCGGAACUGAGACACGGUCCAGACUCCUACGGGAGGCAGCAGUGGGGAAUAUUGGACAAUGGGCGCAAGCCUGAUCCGGCCAUACCGCGUGGGUGAAGAAGGCCUUCGGGUUGUAAAGCCCUUUUGUUGGGAAAGAAAAGCAGCAGGUUAAUACCCCGCUGUUCUGACGGUACCCAAAGAAUAAGCACCGGCUAACUUCGUG
rnacentral:rRNA from 1 species